rnacentral:rRNA from 1 species
UACGGGGGGGGCAAGCGUUGUUCGGAAUUACUGGGCGUAAAGGGCUCGUAGGCGGCCAACUAAGUCAGACGUGAAAUCCCUCGGCUUAACCGGGGAACUGCAUCUGAUACUGGAUGGCUUGAGAUUGGGAGAGGGAUGCGGAAUUCCAGGUGUAGCGGCGAAAUGCGUAGAUAUCUGGAGGAACACCGGUGGCGAAGGCGGCAUCCUGGACCAACACUGACGCUGAGGAGCGAAAGCCAGGGGAGCAAACGGG